AACGAACGCUGGCGGCGUGCCUAACACAUGCAAGUCGAGCGGGAAAGUUCCCUUCGGGGAGCGAGUACAGCGGCGAACGGGUGAGUAACACGUAGGUAACCUACCCUUGAGACUGGGAUAACCUGCCGAAAGGCGGGCUAAUACUGGAUAAGACCGUGAGGGCUGCGGCCCUUGGGGUAAAAGGUGGCCUCUGCUUGCAAGCUACCACUUGAGGAUGGGCCUGCGCGCCAUUAGCUAGUUGGGAGGUAACGGCUCACCAAGGCUGGGAUGGCUAGCUGGUCUGAGAGGAUGGCCAGCCACACUGGGACUGAGACACGGCCCAGACUCCUACGGGGAGGCAGCAGUCGAGAAUUUUUCACAAUGGGCG
rnacentral:rRNA from 1 species